GUGGGUGUUGGACGCUGGGAACGCAGGAAGGGGAAACCCUCCUUCAACCCUAGUUUAUCAAAUCUCUAAGAAUUGGAUGUGAUUCUGGGUCAAAUUCGAAUGCAUGUGACCAAAUUCUCAACCAUCUAAGAGUUUCCUACAUAGGGAGUGAAAGAAGAAGGAGCUAAUUCCGGUUCGUAACAAAAGGCUCAAGAACGAGGUAAAACUCAAGCUUAGAUGCUAUUGCCUCGCUCGGAACCGAACACACCUUGAACGCCUUUAUGCGCUUCCGCAAUUUUUGAAGUAUCAUCAAUGGAUCAAUACUUUUGUUAAAUUAGGCUAAGU